ACAAAGGCUCUUUUAAGAGCCACUCCAUCAGCANCGGAGGAGCUGU
rfam:Amazona aestiva scaffold_1371, whole genome shotgun sequence.